ACCGCGCCCUUCAUUCAGCCGGUAUUUAUAGGAUGAUGACUAGGAGGUGAGCCCUGCGUCAGGUGCUGGGGAGUCUCCGGUGAGUGAACCUGGUGCAUUUCUCUGCCGAGCUUGCUGCCUGGCAGUGGUGGCAGUGGGGGGAGGGGUGCUGACCACCAAGGGCCGUAGCAGUUGGAGUAGGAGACCCGCAGAUGGGGACCAGAAAACAAUAGGGUUUUGGGAAGUAGGAUUCCGUCCUGCUGGAUUGGAACGUCACUGCUUGGCAUCUUUAAUUUCUCUGCCUGUCUCGCCCUGUCUUUGAAUAAAAGCCCACACAGCUUUCCAUAGGUUCUUCAUAAACUGUCCUUUCCUCUGUCUCGCCCUCCUUCCCGGCUGUGCCUCCUGGUACCAGCUCAAGAACGCUCCCCGCGGCUGUUUACCGGCCCCAUUAUUUAUAGGCUGCUAUGUUCCCCCGUGCUCCUCGCCAGUCACCACCCAGACGCGCUGUACGUAGUUCGUUAUUUUAAUCUUUCCCAGUAAAUCAAUUCUCCCUACCUCCCCAUCAUUUUUAUUGCUCUGCUUUGAACUCCCUUCAGCUUUUCUACCUCUUUAUGGUAUUGAAGUGCCCGGAAUUUAAUGUAGUUUUCCAGGUGGGGUUCGAGAAAGGCUGUUAGAGCGGGACUCUCACCUCUGUUCGCUGCUGGGAACGGAGCCCAAAACUGCAUUAGCCCCUGAGCUGCGGUAUCAGCUCUAGCAGCGCACGUCUGAUUGUCUCCUGCCCAGCGCCUGCCGGCUCCCACACAGCUCCGCGGCGUCCCUCCGGUGGUCUCGCUGCCGUCUAGCUUUUAGUCAAGGGUCGGCACUGAGAAUCAGAGGAAGGAAGGUGGCGAGCACAGUCCCAAAGGGUAAACGCAGUGGGUGACUGAUGACAGUGACCGUCCCUGCCGCGGGAGGUGUGGUCGCGCGGGGCUGAGGCUCCAGGACUUGUUUGUGUUCUCCUCUGGCACUCGCCUCAUCUGGCUGAGGAGCAGGCUCAGAGACGCUAAGUAAGUGUCGGGGAGUCCCCCAGCUUGAGGCAACACAGGAAUCCGGGCAGCCGGACCACAAAGCCUUUGGAACCAGCGCCGCUGGUGAGGGGCCGGGGCUGGGCGGGGGUGAUGGUGCCGCCCGGAGCCGGGGGUCCGCUGGCCCAGUGCUGGGCUGAAGCACCGUCACCCCCGGGGACCACUGCCCGGGUCUCCUUCCCUAACCUCAUAAAGCGAGGCACAUCGGAGGACCAGUGAGAUCUUUGAGUGAGUGAGUGGAGGUUAAGUUCCGGGCACUUGUGGACAUGAAGCAGUGUUGUCACCCCCUCCGCCCUCAAGCAGCUUCCAGAGUCCCUGCACCAGAGCAAGGCACAGAGCCCAGCGAGACAGACCCUGCAGAGCAGACCCGGCAGGACUGGUUGUGAAGGAGAGAAUGCCGAGGUCAGAGGCUGUUUCUGAAAGGAGUCUGACUACGGCAUCUUGCCACCCUCAGCAGUGGCAUCGCUUCCUGCUCCUUCUUUUAGGAGCCCAGGAGACUCUGCCCACAGGCUUCUUAGGGAAACAGAAAUGGAGCGAGACCGAGCAGCACAGAAACUGGACUUGGGAAGCUGCGCUGGACCCAGGUCUGCUCUAGUGACGAGGCAACCUCAUGUCCUGGCAGCAGCAGGCGGUCUGGCUCCUCCACUGAGGCUCUGCUGUAGCUGAAACCUGAUGACUUGCUGAUGUUUUCAGCCCUGCUCCUGCUUUUCAGGAGCAGCUCGCGGCUCCUGCGCGGCAGCGCGCCCUUCGUUCUUCACGUUCCGUGUGUGCUGCUGCCGCCUCCGAGCAGCCCCAGCGCUCGACCUGCCCUCCGGGGCCCCUCCAGGGACCCCGGGGCACAGAACGGAUGUGGACCCGACUAGCUUUUCUCAGGAAAGUACUUCGCAGUCUCUAGAAGGGACACGAGAUUUGGGCGCAGAGCUACCAACGACACACACCGCCAUGGCCGCGUGUCCUCUGAACUGACGUGAACCAUUUGAUUUUCCGUUGUCUGGAACACGUCUGCCAUAUUAGAAGAAGUGAGAUGCUGCUGUUUUUCGGAAGAUACACCAUUACUUACUGCACUGCUGUCGCGAUGAAGUAAGGAUACUGCCGAUUAAACAAAGACACGCAGGAACCUUUGUAAGACACCUUCUGGACGUGGGGAUGUGAAAAAUAAACGUGUGAAAAGUAGAUGCGUGACGUGAAAAAUAACGUGUCUGAGAAGUGGUGAGUUACAAUGGGUUACAAGUACCUCUGGAAUCGUGGGUUCAGAUCGUAAGCAAACCAGUGGUACCUUAAUUAUGAGCCACACCCUCAUCUUAAGCCUAACCUGGAUACUACCCAGCCCUAUGGCUAGCGUAAUCUUUUUUAAAAUUUUAAUUAUUUAUUUUAAAAAAUUGAAUUACAGUCAGUCACAAUGUAUCUGUUUCUGGUGUCCCUGUGGCUAAUCUAAUCGUAACCCAGUCCUCCUGUCUCUUCCCUCGCCCACUGGGCUGAGCACUUGAUUCUUUUAAUGUCGUACGAGAAACUCUUUCUCUUUGAGAUGAUGUCCCAGCUGCCUUCUCUCUGGCUGUCCUCACAACACACCACAGAUUGGAUGGUUCAAACCAUAAACGUUUCUCCUCCCAGUUUUGAAGGCUGACAGUCCAGGGUCAAGGUGCCAGCAGAGGGGUCUGGGGAGCCCAUCCUGACCUCUGACUUAUACCUGUGUCCUCACGUGAGAGCAGAGAGGAGGCAAGCUCUCUGGGGCCGCUCCUUCUCAGGGCACUGACCCAUUGUGAGGGUCCCCCCUCAGGACCUCUGCACCUCACAGGACCCACCUCCUGACCCCAUCACCCUGGGGGUUGAGUUUGAGGGGACACAAACACACAGCCCACGAUGCCAGCAGCUGCCCUGCCGGCCCUGGGAGCUCCUCCCCACCUGCCUGGCCUCUGAGCUCAGGGUUCUGUCACCUUCCCUCCAGUCCACCCCUUCUCUCCUCCCCUACUGAAGUGUUCCCCUCCUCAACCUGGAACGUGCUUCCCCCCUUCUUUGCCUGAUCUUUGAGGCUCCCUUCGGGGCACCACACACACACUUUUGUUGCUGUGCCCUUUUAUACUCCCGGGGGCAUUCUGUCCAGGAGUAAGAGCCAUGGUCCGGCGCUGGGGGGAGGUGAAAACGAGAGCCUGUGAGGUCCGUGUUGGUGAGGGCCGAGGAUGAAAAGGUUCAGCCCACAGUCUGACUAGCAGGGCCCUGGGAGUUUCCUGAAGACCAGAAAAUCUGGUUACUGAGAGGCUCGGAUGAGAGCAAAGAGGUUCCAUGGGCCUCUGGAGGCUGGGACAUGGAGUGUGCCCCCUGGGCAAGACCGAUGAGAUCAGUUCCCUCCGCUGGCUCUUUUCUCGGGGUCUGUGUGCUGGGUCAGCUCUGGAUCCAAGCCACAGGUCAAAUCUGCUUGCGACUGUUUUUGCCAAUAAAGUUGUA